GACGGAGGAUGCAAGCGUUAUCCGGAAUGAUUGGGCGUAAAGCGUCCGCAGGUGGCAGUUCAAGUCUGCUGUCAAAAACCGGGGCUUAACUUCGGAAAGGCAGUGGAAACUGAACAGCUAGAGUAUGGUAGGGGCAGAGGGAAUUCCUGGUGUAGCGGUGAAAUGCGUAGAUAUCAGGAAGAACAUCGGUGGCGAAGGCGCUCUGCUGGACCAUAACUGACACUCAGGGACGAAAGCUAGGGGAGCGAAUGGG
rnacentral:rRNA from 1 species